rnacentral:rRNA from 1 species
UACCCGCAGCACAAGUGGUGGUCAUUAUUAUUGGGCCUAAAGCGUCCGUAGCUGGCUUGUUAGAUGCCUGGGUAAAUCGAUGCGCUCAACGCAUCGAACUCCGGGUAGACCGGCAAGCUUGGGACUGGGAGAGGCGUGAGCUACUCGAGGGGUAGGGGUAAAAUCCUGUAAUCCUUCGGGGAGGACCAGUGGCGAAGGCGUCACGCUAGAACGGCUCCGACAGUGAGGGACGAAGCCCUGGGGCGCAAACCGG